ensembl:lncRNA
CUCAGGGGGUGUCUGUAUUAUUGAACUAAUCAAACCACCAUAAAAAGGAUAGGUUAUUAAUGACAGGUCUAAUACUGUGAUUUAAUCAUAGAAAAGCAGUUUAGGCAUAGCAUCCAUAAUUCACAUUCAUGUGGUGUAAUAAUGCACUGUAUAUAGUAUUGGAGCUAUGCUAAGCUGACACGUGUAUGGCAUGUGUACACUAAGCAUUCCUUUUUUUUUGUUUGUUUGUUUGUUUGUUUUUUAAAUGACCAUUAUUGUUUUUAUUAUUUUGUACUUUAUUUAAGGUCAAGCUUUUGUGAGAUAUAUUUGUAUAAUGAUUUUGCUUUUUAAAUGCUUUAAUGAGGAUCAAAUCAAUCCUUAUUAUAUUGGGAAUGUGAGUAAGUGAAAAGCUACAGGUUUAAAAGUGCAAUCUUUGCUUUUUAAUAUAUCGUUCCAUUGAUUAUCUUUGGAGUGUUGUAUUUUCCUGAAGCAGAUUAUGUGAACCACGUACACUGUACAAGUUGUAAAGGAACUUUCCUGCAACUCUUCUGUUACCAGACCUUCAUCGUGUACUAACAUAAGCGUAUAAUGUUGGUGCGACUGUAAUUCUUCCCUCCUGUCCUAUACCAUUCUAGACUACACUGUAGAAAUGAUCUGUCCCUGUCAUGGAUUUCAAUUCAUUUUUAUAUGUAGGUGAGAUGUGAGAAAUUCAGGAUUUCUGAAAACGGGUCUUUAGGAUUUAUUGAAUGAAACCGUUUUUAUCUUCUAAUCAUUAAAUUAGUAGAAUUACAGUCUUAGAUUAGUGUAAUAUACAGCUAGUCAGUAUGUCUCAAUAGCAGCAAAAAAAAAAAAAAAAAAGUCCUCCAAACAUUUCCAGUACUAGGUGAUUCAGGUUUUGUUUAUUUAUUUAUUUUUAUAUUAAAAAAAUUCAGUAUUCAUCUCUGCAUUUCAGUCAUCUGCAGGUCAUCUGAGAUUCCAUGUAAUAUCCCAUGUAAGUUUUUUGAGGAAGUUCAAUGAUGAUCACAGAGACCUGACUGGCUUUUGUCGAGUACCCUGUUAAGGAGAUGUAUUCUUUUUGCUUCUAUUAAUAUUGUUUUAUGUUCCAGUUGUCCUGCCUUGGUUUCUCUGUAACUGACACGCAUUGAGAGUGAUGCAAAGUCCUGUGCCUUUUCCUGACUUAUAAUAAACAUUACUGCAAAACUCCUGAA